rnacentral:rRNA from 1 species
GUCUACAGGCAUAUCACCCUAAAUACACCUGAUCUCAUUUGAUCUCACAAGCUAAGCAGGGUCAGGCCUGGUUAGUACUUGGGUGUGAGAAACACUCUCUAAACUCUGUUUCCUACU